rnacentral:rRNA from 1 species
GCUCAGGUUGAACGCUAGCGGCAUGCCUAACACAUGCAAGUCGAACGGGACAGCGCGGAGAGAACUUGUUUUUCUCUAGCGAGUUGAGUGGCGAACGGGUGAGUAAUGCGUAGGAAUCUACCUUUUAGAGGGGGAUAACCCGAGGAAACUCGGGCUAAUACCGCGUAGUAUCUCUUUUCAUAGAAAAGUUGAAGAAAGCGGGGGAUCCUUGAGUUUUUUUAAGGACCUCGCGCUAAAAGAUGAGCCUGCGUCGGAUUAGUUAGUUGGUGGGGUAAUAGCCCACCAAGACGAUGAUCCGUACCUGGUCUGAUAGGAUGAUCAGCCACACUGGGACUGAGACACGGCCCACACUCCUAUGGGAGGCAGCAUUGGGGAAUAUUGGACAAUGGGGGAAACCCUGAUCCAUCCUUGCCGCGUGUGUGACCAAGGCCUUC